CACAGGGAGGUAGUGACAAUAAAUAACAAUACAGGGCUCUUUGAGUCUUGUAAUUGGAAUGAGUACAAUUUAAAUACCUUAACGAGGAACAAUUGGAGGGCAAGUCUGGUGCCAGCAGCCGCGGUAAUUCCAGCUCCAAUAGCGUAUAUUAAAGUUGUUGCAGUUAAAAAGCUCGUAGUUGAACUUUGGGCCUGGGAGUAUGGUCUCUCUAACGGGAUGUACUGUACGCUUGGGCUCCACCUUUCGGGGAUCUGGGCUGCCUUUAACCGGGUGGCUCAGGGAUCCGAGACUAUUACUUUGAAAAAAUUAGAGUGUUCAAAGCAGGCUUAUGCUUGAAUACGUUAGCAUGGAAUAAUGGAAUAGGACCUUGGUUCUGUUUUGUUGGUUUAUAGGACCAAAGUAAUGAUUAAUAGGGACAGUUGGGGGCAUUAGUAUUUCAGGGCUAGAGG
rnacentral:rRNA from 1 species